rnacentral:rRNA from 1 species
UACGGGAGGGGCAAGCGUUGUUCGGAAUUACUGGGCGUAAAGGGCUCGUAGGCGGCCAACUAAGUCAGACGUGAAAUCCCUCGGCUUAACCGGGGAACUGCGUCUGAUACUGGAUGGCUCGAGUUUGGGAGAGGGAUGCGGAAUUCCAGGUGUAGCGGUGAAAUGCGUAGAUAUCUGGAGGAACACCGGUGGCGAAGGCGGCAUCCUGGACCAACACUGACGCUGAUGAGCGAAAGCCAGGGGAGCAAACGGG